rnacentral:tRNA from 2 species
UGCGGAAUUGUGUAAUGGUAGCACGACAGACUCUGACUCUGUUUGUCUGGGUUCGAAUCCUAGUUCCGCAGCCA